rnacentral:rRNA from 1 species
CCUACGGGGGGCUGCAGUGAGGAAUAUUGGUCAAUGGACGAGAGUCUGAACCAGCCAAGUAGCGUGAAGGAUGACUGCCCUAUGGGUUGUAAACUUCUUUUAUAUGGGAAUAAAAUGUUCCACGUGUGGGAUUUUGUAUGUACCAUAUGAAUAAGGAUCGGCUAAAUCCGUGCCAGCAGCCGCGGUAAUACGGAGGGUCCGGGCGUUAUCCGGAUUUAUUGGGUUUAAAGGGAGCGUAGGUGGAAUGUUAAGGAAGCUGUGAAAGUUUACGGCUCAACCGUAAAAGUGCAGUUGAAACUGGCAGUCUUGAGUGCAGGAGAGGUAUGCGGAAUUCGUGGUGUAGCGGUGAAAUGCUUAGAUAUCACGAAGAACUCCGAUUGCGAAGGCAGCUUACUGGACUGCAACUGACGCUGAGGCUCGAAAGUGUGGGUAUCGAACAGGAUUAGAUACCCUUGUAGUC